rnacentral:rRNA from 1 species
GACGAACCACACAAACGUUAUUCGGAAUUACUGGGCUUAAAGGGUGCGUAGGCUGUGCGGAAAGUUGGGCGUGAAAUACCUCAGCUUAACUGAGGAACUGCGUUCAAAACUACCGUGCUUGAGGGAUACAGAGGUAAGCGGAACUUAGGGUGGAGCGGUGAAAUGCGUUGAUAUCCUAAGGAACACCGGUGGCGAAAGCGGCUUACUGGGUAUCUUCUGACGCUGAUGCACGAAAGCUAGGGUAGCGAACGGG